rnacentral:rRNA from 1 species
CGAGUAUAGUUUGAGGGGAAAAACUAUCUUAAGAAAAAAAAUAAUCUGAAAUAUAAAGAAAAAAUUUUUAAGUUUUAGUAAAGUUAUUGAAAAAAUUUAUUUAGAUGUAGAGAAUUAGUAUUGUGAAAGAAAUUUUUAUUUUAAAAAGAAGAAGAAUUUAUAUUUUGUACCUUGGGUAUCAGGGUUUAUUAAAAAGGAACUAUAUAAAUUAGUGCUCUCGAAUUUAAAAGAGCUACUAGGACAGAAUUUUUACUGUUGCAUAAGUAAUAUAAAUGUUUUAGUAGGGGUGAAACAUUAAUCGGUUUUAAAUAUAUCUAGUUUUUUAAGAAAAAAAUUUAAUUUUUUUUUGUUUAAAUAAUUUUUUUAAUUUUUAAUUGAUUGUUGAGUAAAAUUAAUAAUUUAUGGGUUGAGCUUUAAAUUAAAUUUAUAAAAUAGGGGUUUAUAUUUUAUAAUAAGUAGGAUUUAUAGGGUCUAUCAUAGUGAAUUAUAUCUGAAUUUAAUUUUUAAUAAGAUUUUUAUAUCUUUAUUUAUGUUUUUUAUUAAAAUUUAGGCAAAAAUAGGGUCUGUCUAGAAAUAAUGAUAAAAUUAGUAUAAUGAAAAUUAAAAAUUGUAUAGAAGUAUAGGUUUAAUUAAGGAAUUCGGCAAAAAUUUUUCUCACCUGUUUAUUAAAAACAUGGCCUUUUGAUUAUAAUUUAAGGUCUGGCCUGCCCAAUGAUUAAUUUAAUGGCUGCGGUAUACUGACCGUGCAAAGGUAGCAUAAUCAUUAGUUUUUUAAUUGAAAGCUUGUAUGAAAGGUUGGAUGAGGAAAAAGCUGUCUCAAUUGAAAUUUUUUAGAAUUUUAUUAUUUAGUAAAAAGGCUGAAAUAAUUAUGAAAGACGAGAAGACCCUAUAGAGUUUUAUAUUUUUUAAUGAAAGGGUAAUUAGGAUAUGUAUCUUUAUUUAUAAAAAAUAUUUGGUUGGGGUGAUUGAAUAAUUUAAUAAACUUUUUUUAUAAAAAAUUUCACUGAUUAGUGUAAAGAUGAUCCUUUUUUAAAGAUUAAAAGAAAAAAUUACCUUAGGGAUAACAGCGUUAUUUUUCUAGAGAGUUCAUAUCGAAAGAAAAGUUUGCGACCUCGAUGUUGGAUUAAAAUUUAGGUUUGGUGAAGAAGCUAAAUCAUUAGGUCUGUUCGACCUUUAAAAUUUUACAUGAUCUGAGUUUAGACCGGCGUGAGCCAGGUUGGUUUCUAUCUUUAUGCAGAUAAUAUUUUUUAGUACGAAAGGACCAAAAAUGUAUUAAAUUAAUAAAAUUUGAACACUAUUUGUUGUUUUGGCAGAAUAGUGCGGUGGAUUUAGAAUCUUUGUAUGUAAGAAAGAUUUUUUACA